CACCCACCUACACGGCAGGAGGCUGGUGCCGUCAUCCAUCAGCUGAGAGGUGGGAUCCGGCCCCACCCUGGACCACUCUCCCCCUCUCUUGAGUGUAUAAGUCCAGCUGUAUAGGAGCCCUUUCAGCCUGGGCGAGGGGCACUGACAUCACACUCAAGACCAGCUGCACGGCAGAGCGAAAAGGCACAGAGGCAAGCUGCAGGUGCCACCACGGGAGCCACCACCCAGCCCUGAGGGACAUUGUAAGAGGAGCUCAUAGAUGCCAGCUGCAGGUGAAACAGAGGAGAGGCUGCCUCUCCCCACCCCACCCCCGGGGGCUCACAGGUGCAGAGACUGUGCUUGCCCCUAUCUAGCUGUGAGCCCAGGAACCACGUGAUCGUGAUCCUCGGACCCUCUUGAGCUUUUAUUGAGCACUUGCUGUGGGGGGUGGAGAGAGCGCUGGGGGCUGGGGGGCAUGGGUGAACCCCCUCAGGGGCUUUACUGACUCACAGUUGGUUUUCAUCUUCAUUUAUUUUUACCGUGCUGGGGAUAGAACCCAGGACCUCACACACAUGAAGUCUCUGGCACUGAGCCACACCCCAACCCUGAGCUGCAACUUUAUAAAAGGCUUUGUACCUACUCCAAGCAAGGCAAAAGACAGAGUCCAGGAUAUCAAUACAGGAAGUGAAUAUAAUUACCAAGCCAGAGAAAGAACCAUAAAGAAGAUAAACAAAUGGGCUUGAGGUCUAGAAUAAAGCAACAGGAACCAUUUCCAGUGGGUUCUGAAGAAACUGUGGUGGAGGUGAUGUUACACCGGGACCUCAGGACACGGAAUCGAUCCAGAAAAGUAUUCCAGGCAGACGGGACAGCAUAGACAAAGGCACCAUGGCCAGAAGCCAGAGAAAGCCUGGCAUCACUGGGGAACUGGAACACAAAAUGCAGUUUGGUAUUUUUCUGUGGCACGAGAGGAGAAAGAGUUAGAGAUGGUAGAGAGACCUAGGGAGAUGAUUCCGUGAGGUCUAAUGCAGGCCAUCCCAGCGUCAUGUGGAUGGGUUUGUGGACCACACAAGGGUUCCAGCAGCAGAGUGACUGGGCCCACAGCUUUCUGCAAUGUCACGGCUUAGAGUGAGGUGACAGACAGACAGACAGACAGGUCUCACUAAAAAGUUUUAGCUUUGUGUUUCUAAUUCCACAGGGCUGCUGUGAUGGGUUUGAAGUAGAGAUUUGAUUCAGGCAGGAAAAAAAAAAAAUGAUGAGGCCAGGCAUUGUGGCAGAUCUCUGUGAGUUCAAGACCAGGCCUACAGAGUGAGUUCUAGGACAGCCAGGGCUACACAGAGAAAUUGUGUCUUGAAAAGCUAAAAACAAACAAACAAACAAACAAAAAAGUACACGCCUUUAAUCCCAGCACUCAGGAGGCAAAGGCAGGAGGAUUCUGAAUUCCAGGUCAGCCAGGGCUAUGUAGAAAGCCCUACCUCAAAAAAAAUUUUUUUUUAAUUCAAAAAUUAUGUAUUUAUUAUUGUGUGUGGUUUUUGUACUUCACACAGUUGCGUGUGCCCUAGCCCCCACGGGGUGUCACAGAACGAACUUUAGGAGUUGGUUCUUUUCUUCCACUUUGACACCAGGGGUCAGACUCAGGUCACUCAUUAGGCUCCUGGGUGUGCUUUUAUCUGCUAUUACGGGCCCUUUUUUUUUUUUUUUUGGAAACGAGGUCUACUCCUGUAGCCCAGGCUGACCUCAAACUUGCUGUGUAGUCAGCUGAGGUUAGUCUUAAACUCCUGACCCUUUCUGCCUCCACCUCCCAAGUCGUGGGGAGCCAGCUCCGGGUUUGCUUUUGAAAGGGUCACCUGACUGCUUUGUCAGGAAGGAAGGCCGGCCUUGAGAUUGUGGAAAGAGGUGGGGCCCACUCCAGGAAGGUAAGUACUGCCUGUGGAAUGGGGUGUGCCCAGGGAAGGGUCCACCUAGACGUCUCUCAAAGCCACAAUUGAAUGCUGGCCACUGCCACGGGACAGCAAUCUUAGGUGCCAGACCCUGCUUUGCUGCUAGCCUGCUGUGUGACUACACUGCUGCGGCUCAGCAUGUUGCUUCCUGGACUUGGUUGGGAACAUGCUGUAUUGAGGGUCUUUUGUGCUUGGAUUGGCCAGGAAGUCUUGAGCCUGCUGCAAGGGACAUACACCCUCCUGAGUCAGGAGGACAUACACCUUCAUGAGUGGGGAGAACCUACACAAUCCUGAGUCGGGAGGUGGGGAGGACCAACACCCUCUUGAGUGGGGAGGACCUACAUCACACUGAAUCGUGGGGAGGACAUGCACCUUCAUGAGUGGGGAGGACCUAAACCUUCAUGAGUGGGGAGGACUGGCCAACCACUCUAAACCCAUGGAAGUCAAGAGAGUUCCAGAUGGUGACUCAAGGUGUGAUGGAAACAAGCCAAGGCCAUCACAGAGAGCACGGCCCCAUUUGACUGAGUGAGCAGGUCUUAGAGAGGUAGAUCAAAUACUGAAGGGGGUCACUUGUGGAAAAAGCCAAUGCAGAGGCCCAGAGGGACAUGUCUGUAGCCAGCAUUCUGAGCAGUAAGGAGCCCAGAAAUGAAGCUCAGGGCUUAGCCAGGGAGGCACAGGUGUAAAGAGUGGGAGGAGGGCCAGGAGACUGACCUGUCUGUCACAGGUUGGGUGAACAGUGGCUAAGUCUGUGGGUCUAGCUACUACUCAAGGCAGACUUCAGAUGGGCCAGGAAGGAACAUUAGACAGCGAUCCUGUAUCUGUUGUGGGUAUCUGGGGAGGGAAGCUUCAAAAAUGCACCUGAAGGAGAGGCCCGGGUUCUAAAGAGGGUGUGGGGCCUCAGUUCAGGCCAGAACAUGUUCAUUAAAAUCCCCUAGACAGUUUCCCUGGCUUCAGGCUAAAAGAAAGAUGUGAAGUACAGCCCGUGUGUGUUUGGAGGGGGCUGCAUGGUGGAGUCAGAGCUUGCCUGAGCACAGUCCUCCCCCACAGGCAGUUACCACACUGACACAGAUGCAAAAAAAACCCAUCAAUUUUAUACAGUUUGUGGUUCAGAAGCAACAUAUGCAGAAAACGGUGGAACAGUCCAGGCUGCCCCACCCCACCUGAAUGAACUCAUUCUUGUUCCCCAAGGAGCACAGAACCCAGGACCCCGGCCUGGCAGGACCCCACUUAGUUAUAGGCCCCUGGACAGGGGUUAAGCCCUUAGGGGUCAAGGUUGGAGGGAGGGGACCAGCACCUUGCCCCCUUGGGGCCCACUGGUCCAUUGAUGUGUGUGUGUGUGUGUGUGUGUGUGUGUGUGUGUGUGUAUCUGUCUGUCUGUCUCUGUAGGGUGGGGAAUGAUCCAUCGUGGAUCUCCUCUCCCCAAGGCUAAGGAAGGGCUGGGGAGCCAGUAUAUCUGAGGAGAGGGUUUCUUGGGACAGGACCCCCACAAGGCACGACUGACCCAGACUUUAGCCUGGUACAGCCCUCUUUGGUCCCCCAGAUUUCUCCCAAUUCCCAGUGUCUAUUCUCCCCCUGUAGAGCUCCUGCUGUGGUUUAGGGGAGGGCAGAAAGCAACUAGCCCCCCCCCCCUUUUUUUUUUGUUCAGCA